rnacentral:lncRNA from 1 species
CCAGUCCAGGAAGUUCCUGCAGCACCCCUCUCUCAACCAAGAAACCACAGUAAAGGUUCUUGCUCACACUUUCCCGUCGCUCCCUCUGCCUCCUGAGUGCCUCACUCUUCCCUGUGUGGCCUCUCCUCGUGGGAUCUAAAGGAAUUAGGACUCCUCAACAAAAUGCUGAUUCCGUGGCUGAAGCAGUGUAGACACAAGAUGUAGUACCUGGAGCUGUGCAGCUGUUUUGUGACUGUAAGUUGAUGAACAGAGAUGUUGGGCCUGGCACCACGGAGCUGCUGAAGACACACACAAAAAAGGCCUAUCUUUUGACUUCUGUAUUUUUGUGUGGAACAAAACUAUUUCGUUAAAAUAUUAUAGUUGAAUGUAGUUGAAUGCUUUGUUACUUGCAGCUAAAUACAUUCCUAAUAAGUAGAGAUUAUAACUAUAAUCUUACUAUAACUGUCUAUAUUAGCUACUAAUUGAAUAUAUUAUAUUUGGGAAAUAAUAAUUGUGGUAAUCUAAAU